AACAUAGAGGUGUUUAUCCUUUGUGAUUUGCCACUGUUUAUAAUGAGUGCCGCUGGUGGCCGCUGAUGAGGUGGGCCAGUAUAAAAGCGGCAGUCCACCCACCAGUUCUUCCUUUGCGCCUCCGUCACCUCUGCGUCACUUCCGGGUCAGCGGUCAUUUGAUCCGACAGGUAUGGCUGCACGCUGCUUCACCUCGCUGGUUGUUUGUGUCUCUCAAUGUGCUUAAGGCAUUGGUGUUGUGUUGUAGGGCGACUGCCUGUGUGCUGCUCCGGCCCCCCCCUGUAUGCGCUGCUGCGUGUGUCUGUGGUAAAUGCUGGUGGCUGCCAGGGGUCCUCUCUCCCUCCCUCCUCUCGUGAGUGUGUGUGUGUGUCCAUCGCUGCUAAAAAGUGGCUGGAGGCCGGUGGUGGCGGUGUUGGUGAUCUGGUGUUGGCACCCUUCUGUCUUGUCUGCUGUGUUCCUGGGAGUGGGUUACUUCACUGAGUGUGUGUCUGCCACGUGUGUCCGGUGAUAUAAGUUGAUUUCUGUUUUUUUUGGUGGAUCCUUCCCCUGCCCUAGGCCCCGUCCAUCAACUAGGCCUCAGCCCUGAUUAGUUUCUUUUUCCCCUCCCUGUGUGACAUUUUAAUUACGGUUUUUACCCAGUUUGUUUAAUAAAGUGUAUUUUUUUUUAUCAAUUGG